AGCGAACGCUGGCGGCAGGCUUAACACAUGCAAGUCGAGCGCCGUAGCAAUACGGAGCGGCAGACGGGUGAGUAACACGUGGGAACGUACCUUUUGGUUCGGAACAACCCAGGGAAACUUGGGCUAAUACCGGAUAAGCCCUCACGGGGAAAGAUUUAUCGCCAGAAAGAUCGGCCCGCGUCUGAUUAGCUAGUUGGUGAGGUAACGGCUCACCAAGGCGACGAUCAGUAGCUGGUCUGAGAGGAUGAUCAGCCACACGGGGACUGAGACACGGCCCAGACUCCUACAGGAGGCAGCAGUGGGGAAAAUUGGACAAUGGACGCAAGCCUGCUCCAGCCAUGCCGCGUGAGUGAUGAAGGCCCUAGGGUUGUAAAGCUCUUUUGUGCGGGAAGAUAAUGACUGUACCGCAAGAAUAAGCCCCGGCUAACUUCGUGCCAGCCGCCGCCGUAAAAC
rnacentral:rRNA from 1 species